CACGGGGGGAACGCGAAGAACCUUACCUGGUCUUGACAUCCUAGGAACCUCGCAGAGAUGUGGGGGUGCCUUCGGGAACCUGGAGACAGGUGCUGCAUGGCUGUCGUCAGCUCGUGUCGUGAGAUGUUGGGUUAAGUCCCGCAACGAGCGCAACCCUUGCCCUUAGUUGCCAGCAUUUAGUUGGGAACUCUAAGGGGACCGCCGGUGACAAACCGGAGGAAGGUGGGGAUGACGUCAAGUCAUCAUGGCCCUUGUGACCAGGGCUACACACGUGCUACAAUGGCCAGUACAAAGGGUUGCCAACCCGCGAGGGGGAGCCAAUCCCAGAAAGCUGGUCGUAGUCCGGAUCGCAGUCUGCAACUCGGCUGCGUGAAGUCGGAAUCGCUAGUAAUCGUGAAUCAGCGGUGUCACGGUGAAUACGUUCCCGGGUCUUGUACACACGC
rnacentral:rRNA from 1 species